rnacentral:SRP_RNA from 2 species
GGAGAUCGACGGUGGACAAAUUACUCGCCAACCCGGUCAGAUCUGGAAAGAAGCAGCCGUAACGAGAUUUAAUUUGGGUCGUUUGUUUGGUCUCCCAU